rnacentral:rRNA from 1 species
GACGAACGCUGGCGGCGUGCCUAAUACAUGCAAGUUGAGCGCUGAAGGUUGGUACUUGUACCAACUGGAUGAGCAGCGAACGGGUGAGUAACGCGUGGGGAAUCUGCCUUUGAGCGGGGGACAACAUUUGGAAACGAAUGCUAAUACCGCAUAAAAACUUUAAACACAAGUUUUAAGUUUGAAAGAUGCAAUUGCAUCACUCAAAGAUGAUCCCGCGUUGUAUUAGCUAGUUGGUGAGGUAAAGGCUCACCAAGGCGAUGAUACAUAGCCGACCUGAGAGGGUGAUCGGCCACAUUGGGACUGAGACAAGGCCCAAACUCCUACGGGAGGCAGCAGUAGGGAAUCUUCGGCAAUGGACGAAAGUAUGACCGAGCAACGCCGCGUGAGUGAAGAAGGUUUUCGGAUAGUAAAACUCUGUUGGUAGAGAAGAACGUUGGUGAGAGUGGAAAGCUCAUCAAGUGACGGUAACUACCCAGAAAGGGACGGCUAACUACGUG